ACUGGAAGUGCUGGGCACAGUUCUGGACCCGCUGGUACAAGUUACAUGGAGAUAGCUGUGAGAGUCCAGGGGAGAAUGAAGAUGCUGAUGAAGGGAGGAGAGCACCUCCCCUUUGAGGAGAGGCUGCGGGCUGAACUUUGGGGAGGAGAAGGGAAGGGGCCAGCACACAAGCAAUUGCUGGUUUUUGUGAUGCAGAAACGUUUGUAAGAGCUCAUUUCUACAUGGUUAGAUCGUGGCUGAGCUGGGAAGAGCUGUACCAGGUGUUGUGAAUGUACUCCUGACCACUCCUCUCUGGGUAGUGAACACACGGCUGAAGCUGCAAGGAGCAAAAUUCAGAAAUGAAGACAUUGUGCCGACCAAUUAUAAAGGCAUCAUAGAUGCCUUCCAUCAGAUCAUACGGGAUGAAGGAGCCUUAGCUUUAUGGAACGGUACUUUCCCUUCCUUGCUGCUGGUCUUCAAUCCUGCCAUACAGUUCAUGUUUUAUGAAGGCUUUAAAAGAAAGCUCUUAAAAAAGCAGACACAGCUCACAUCUUUGGAUGCUUUUGUCAUGGGUGCAGUAGCCAAAGCAGUUGCCACCACCCUCACUUAUCCUUUGCAGACUGUACAGUCAAUCCUGCGGCUUGCCCUGUUGGAGCAUGCCCUAAAGGUGAGAGGCAUCUGCUAGGAGGCACAGCAGCUGCAAGCAGCAGGGGGUUUGGUAGGCAAAUCACUGCAUUUUCCACCAAAGCCCUGUGGCAGGAAUACCCAUUAUGACAGUUUGCUCCCACUUCUAGGACUGUGUUUGCCUGCCUUCACAACAGGUAGACAAGGAGCAGGGUAAGCACUCCCCUUUUCCUUCCUCAGCAGAUGAGCAAUAAGAUGCGCAAUGGAAAGAUUAAUCUGUACCAGGG